GACGAACGCUGGCGGCGUGCUUAACACAUGCAAGUCGAACGGAAAGGCCCUGCUUUUGUGGGGUGCUCGAGUGGCGAACGGGUGAGUAACACGUGAGUAACCUGCCCUUGACUUUGGGAUAACUUCAGGAAACUGGGGCUAAUACCGGAUAGGAGCUCCUGCUGCAUGGUGGGGGUUGGAAAGUUUCGGCGGUUGGGGAUGGACUCGCGGGUUAUCAGCUUGUUGGUGGGGUAGUGGCUUACCAAGGCCUUGACGGGUAGCCGGCCUGAGAGGGUGACCGGCCACAUUGGGACUGAGAUACGGCCCAGACUCCUACGGGAGGCAGCAGUGGGGAAUAUUGCACAAUGGGCGGAAGCCUGAUGCAGCAACGCCGCGUGCGGGAUGACGGCCUUCGGGUUGUAAACCGCUUUCGCCUGUGACGAAGCGUGAGUGACGGUAAUGGGUAAAGAAGCACCGGCUAACUACGUG
rnacentral:rRNA from 1 species